rnacentral:rRNA from 1 species
AGUGAACGCUCGCGGUAGGCCUAACACAUGCAAGUCGAACGGCAGCACAGUAAGAGCUUGCUCUUACGGGUGGCGAGUGGCGGACGGGUGAGGAAUACAUCGGAAUCUACUUUUUCGUGGGGGAUAACGUAGGGAAACUUACGCUAAUACCGCAUACGACCUACGGGUGAAAGCAGGGGAUCUUCGGACCUUGCGCGAUUGAAUGAGCCGAUGUCGAAUUAGCUAGUUGGCGGGGUAAAGGCCCACCAAGGCGACGAUCCGUAGCUGGUCUGAGAGGAUGAUCAGCCACACUGGAAGUGAGACACGGUCCAGACUCCUACGGGAGGCAGCAGUGGGGAAUAGUGGACAAUGGGCGCAAUCCUGAUCCAGCCAUACCGCGUGGGUGGAGAAGGCCUUCGGGUUGUAAAGCCCUUUUGUUGGGAAAGAAAAGCAGCAGGUUAAUACCCCGCUGUUCUGACGGUACCCAAAGAAUAAGCAGCGGCUAACUUCGUG